GCUCCUGUAGCCCAAUUGGAAGAGGCGGCAGACUUAAAAUCUGUUUGAUUGUGGGUUCGAGUCCCACCAGGAGUACCA
rnacentral:tRNA from 1 species